AGAGAUGUGUGAUGACGCAUAUCAAUAAGCGGAGGAAAAGAAACUAACAAGGAUUCCCUUAGUAACGGCGAGUGAAGCGGGAAGAGCUCAAAUUUGAAAUCUUCAAGGUUCUACCUUGACGAAUUGUAGUUUAUAGAAGUGUUUUCUGUUAGUAGAGUGGCAAAAGUUCUUUGGAAUAGGACAUCAUAGAGGGUGAGAAUCCCGUAUUUGGUCAUUCUUUCUAGCUUUGUGAUACACUUUCAACGAGUCGGAUUGUUUGGGAAUGCAGUCCAAAAUGGGUGGUAAAUUUCAUCUAAAGCUAAAUAUUGGCGAGAGACCGAUAGCGAACAAGUACCGUGAGGGGAAAGAUGAAAAGAACUUUGAAAAGAGAGUUAAACAGUACGUGAAAUUGUCAAAAGGGAAGCGUUUGACACCAGUGUUGUUUUUCCGAAAAUCAAUUACGAAUGUUUUGUUUUUGAGGAGUUAUGACUUCAUCGGCUUGCUCCUUUCUUUACGAAACUUUCUUAAUGCACUUUUCGGUUAACAAGUCAACAUCAAUUUCUUUUGUUGUAAAAGGGUAUGAGGAAGGUGGCUUUCUUUUCGGAGAAAGUGUUUAUAGCCUUGUACCUCUGCAAUCGGAGAGAUUGAGGUCUGCAGCGUAGAUCCUUCGGGGUUAGAUACAUUUGUGCUAAGUUAUAGCUUUUCAUAGACAACUUGUUGACUAUGACUAAGUCUUGUAGCUUACUCGCUUAUGCUAUUUUACCUACGCUUAGGAUGUUGAAGAUGUAGCACAUCAU
rnacentral:rRNA from 1 species